AAAAAUUCACUACAGUUAUGAGUUAUGUCGGUUUACACAUGCUGAGCAACAUAAGUUUACUGCAUGUCAGUUCUUGUGUUUUUUUAUUAUAACUUUUUUAUGAUAUAAAAAUAAUUUAUAUCAAUAUUUGGUAAAUAAAUGUAAGUUAAAAUUUUGGGAAAAAGUUCCUAACAUUAAUACUACUCCUAAUUGAAAAGUAAAAUUAAAGACAAAAGCAACUAAAAUUAGUAAACUACCUAAAAUAAAUAAAUCAUAAUCCCUAUGUGUCAAGGAAAAUUAAAUUGAUUUAUAACUCAAUAUUUAUAAUAUUUAAUUUUUUUAACCGCAUCCCUGCACCCGUAUCCACACACAGAUUCGCACCCCCGAAUCUUAAAAUUUAUAUUUUGACGAAUCUGACUCUCAGAUCCCCACCCGUCUUAGAUACCCGUACCCGAGUCCGCGCAACUUAAGUGAAAACCUUGGAGAUCAGGGUUCAAAUAUAACAGAGACAAAAUAACACUAGGUGAUUUCUUCCUAUCUUCUGAUCGGUACCUGUUCUGGUGGGAGGUAGCUAGUACCGGUGGAAUAAUCGACAUGCAAGCAAGCUCGAAGGACACAACCAUUAUUUCUUUUAAAAAAAGAACGUACAAAAAGGGAAAAAAAAAUGUUUCACGGAUCAAAUAGUUGGUAUGCCACACUCCAGACACUUUCUUCCUAGAAACCAUCCAUCUAAGAGGAUCAAUUUGUUGAUGCAUUCAAGGUUGAAUUUUAUUUAAAAGGAAAACGAGAAAGUAAGGUGAUUAAUAAAUUCCGACUCUUGGAAUUUGUGACAGCAGAACCUACAAUUUAUACUUUAUAGAAUACUGUCAAAUGUCAUAAAACAUUAAAGAGAAGUUCCACAUUAAAAAAGUUGAAUCAGGGAAGCAUCGCUAUUAACAUAUUUGCCAUGGGAAAUGGAAUCACAAUCUUGCUGGAAUUAUUUCCAAAGAAUGAAAUUUCAAAUGCAAGUCACAAAAACUUAUAUAAUUAAAUACCAAUAACUCUUGUCAGUUGAUCCUGAACAGCACUUAAUUCAUCUCUCUGGCCAGUUCAUUUUAUAGUAAUUUUGUUUUGGGACAAUGGCAUGCAUACAAGUUCAUUGUAUAGUAACAACACUACAGAACGCUAGAAGAGAAACUUACCUGACUAGAUAGGUCU
rnacentral:lncRNA from 1 species